GACGAACGCUGGCGGCGUGCUUAACACAUGCAAGUCGAACGGAAAGGCCCUGCUUUUGUGGGGUGCUCGAGUGGCGAACGGGUGAGUAACACGUGAGUAACCUGCCCUUGACUUUGGGAUAACUUCAGGCAACUGGGGCUAAUACCGGAUAGGAGCUCCUGCUGCAUGGUGGGGGUUGGAAAGUUUCGGCGGUUGGGGAUGGACUCGCGGCUUAUCAGCUUGUUGGUGGGGUAGUGGCUUACCAAGGCUUUGACGGGUAGCCGGCCUGAGAGGGUGACCGGCCACAUUGGGACUGAGAUACGGCCCAGACUCCUACGGGAGGCAGCAGUGGGGAAUAUUGCACAAGGGGCGGAAGCCUGAUGCAGCAACGCCGCGUGGGGGAUGACGGCCUGCGGGUUGUAAACCGCUUUCGCCUGUGACGAAGCGUGAGUGACGGUAAUGGGUAAAGAAGCACCGGCUAACUACGUG
rnacentral:rRNA from 1 species